AGGACGAACGCUGGCGGCAUGCCUAACACAUGCAAGUCGAACGGGGGUAGCAAUACCCUAGUGGCGAACGGGUGAGUAACACAUAAGCAAUCUGCCCUUCACAGGGGGAUAACAGCGGGAAACUGCUGCUAAUACCGCAUAAGACCACGGUACCGCAUGGUACAGGGGUAAAAACGAAUCAGUGGUGAAGGAUGAGCUUAUGUCCCAUUAGCUAGUUGGUGAGAUAACAGCCCACCAAGGCGACGAUGGGUAGCCGACCUGAGAGGGUGAUCGGCCACACUGGAACUGAGACACGGUCCAGACUCCUACGGGAGGCAGCAGUGGGGAAUAUUGGGCAAUGGAGGAAACUCCUUACCCAGCAAUGCCGCGUGAGUGAAGAAGGUCUUCGGAUUGUAAAGCUCUUUGAUUGGGGACGAAGAAAGUGACGGUACCCAAAGAACAAGCCCCGGCUAACUACGUGCCAGCAGCUGC
rnacentral:rRNA from 1 species